CUACACAGGGUCCAGCUAAGGGGCCACGACUCCUCACUGAGACCCUAUCCAAGCUAGGUGUUCCCCGCAUCGUGGAACCUGGAUUUGUGUGGAGCGGGGUGAUUCUCGGGCAAGGAAGGUUCUUCCGGCAGGUCCACCAUACCUUCGUCUCGCAUCAGGACCCCCCUUGGAUGCUCUGAGCCACCCUUCUCAACCCGGAUCUAAAACCUGGGACACGGCUAUCAGGCCAGCCUCUCUCUCCCUCCACCCCUCCCCCUCUUUCUGGCGUCCAUCCCCUCCCCAACACCACCUCUGCUGCUGCCUCUGGCUGUGGACUUGCACCUCUUCUCCAUCCUCACCGGGCCGGGAGAGUGGGGUUAGCCUGGAUGAGAGUGUGCCCCUAACCUGGGGCCCUCCCAGGCCAUGGCUCGUGUGCUCCCAGGGAGGAGUCCAGGACCCUGAGCCUCUGCUAGAAGCUUGGCAGAGGCCCCGCUGGGACCGUGUCUUCUGAGGACAAAAGGCUGCGGCCAGCAGGCAGACUGGGUGGGGGGUGGGGGGGAACCGGCAGGCAGGCAGGCAGACCAGUAGCAGAGCUAGCUCUGGCCCCCUCCCAGACUGGUGGUGGCAUAAAGAUGGGGGUGGGAGUGUGUAGCGGGAGAAGCACCUACCAGGACCCCCAUCUGCCCGCUACUUGGGCACCCCAAAGCUGUGUGCUGCCCACCUGGUGUUCCCCAGCAUCUCCAGCUCUACCAAGUGCACCCCUCUGGCACCUGCUUCCCCGGCUGCCAGCGAUUUAGACCAACCAGGCUGUAUCCACGGCAACAGAAGCAGGAGUGUCACUGGCUGCCAGAUCACUGAGGGUCCCACAAUGUGGCCUGGACUAUGGUUUAUCCUGCUUGAGAUCGAGUGAGUUCCCUUCCUGAAUUCCAAGACGGUCCUGCUAAGAGAACCCAGUUUCUACCCACAGGUAAUAUACUUUUGCUCACUCACCCUGGAAGAUGUGUCCCAGCUAGUGGGAGGAAGCUGCUAUAGGAAUAGAGGAAGAUACCCACAAUGUGUUUGGGACCUCCAGAUCAAUGACACAGUAGCCAGAGGUCCCUGUAUCUGGAAGUGCAGGAAAACCUGGUAUAUGGAGAACAUGGAUUCUACUAGGGACACAUCUCUUAACUACUAAGCUCACAACUUUA